UUGAACGCUGGCGGCGUGCCUAAUACAUGCAAGUCGAACGAGUUCUCGUUGAUGAUCGGUGCUUGCACCGAGAUUCAACAUAGAACGAGUGGCGGACGGGUGAGUAACACGUGGGUAACCUGCCCUUAAGUGGGGGAUAACAUUUGGAAACAGAUGCUAAUACCGCAUAGAUCCAAGAACCGCAUGGUUCUUGGCUGAAAGAUGGCGUAAGCUAUCGCUUUUGGAUGGACCCGCGGCGUAUUAGCUAGUUGGUGAGGUAAUGGCUCACCAAGGCGAUGAUACGUAGCCGAACUGAGAGGUUGAUCGGCCACAUUGGGACUGAGACACGGCCCAAACUCCUACGGGAGGCAGCAGUAGGGAAUCUUCCACAAUGGACGCAAGUCUGAUGGAGCAACGCCGCGUGAGUGAAGAAGGCUUUCGGGUCGUAAAACUCUGUUGUUGGAGAAGAAUGGUCGGCAGAGUAACUGUUGUCGGCGUGACGGUAUCCAACCAGAAAGCCACGGCUAACUACGUGCCAGCAGCCGCGGUAAUACGUAGGUGGCAAGCGUUAUCCGGAUUUAUUGGGCGUAAAGCGAGCGCAGGCGGUUUUUUAAGUCUGAUGUGAAAGCCCUCGGCUUAACCGAGGAAGCGCAUCGGAAACUGGGAAACUUGAGUGCAGAAGAGGACAGUGGAACUCCAUGUGUAGCGGUGAAAUGCGUAGAUAUAUGGAAGAACACCAGUGGCGAAGGCGGCUGUCUGGUCUGUAACUGACGCUGAGGCUCGAAAGCAUGGGUAGCGAACAGGAUUAGAUACCCUGGUAGUCCAUGCCGUAAACGAUGAAUGCUAGGUGUUGGAGGGUUUCCGCCCUUCAGUGCCGCAGCUAACGCAUUAAGCAUUCCGCCUGGGGAGUACGACCGCAAGGUUGAAACUCAAAGGAAUUGACGGGGGCCCGCACAAGCGGUGGAGCAUGUGGUUUAAUUCGAAGCAACGCGAAGAACCUUACCAGGUCUUGACAUCUUUUGAUCACCUGAGAGAUCAGGUUUCCCCUUCGGGGGCAAAAUGACAGGUGGUGCAUGGUUGUCGUCAGCUCGUGUCGUGAGAUGUUGGGUUAAGUCCCGCAACGAGCGCAACCCUUAUGACUAGUUGCCAGCAUUUAGUUGGGCACUCUAGUAAGACUGCCGGUGACAAACCGGAGGAAGGUGGGGAUGACGUCAAAUCAUCAUGCCCCUUAUGACCUGGGCUACACACGUGCUACAAUGGAUGGUACAACGAGUUGCAAGACCGCGAGGUCAAGCUAAUCUCUUAAAGCCAUUCUCAGUUCGGACUGUAGGCUGCAACUCGCCUACACGAAGUCGGAAUCGCUAGUAAUCGCGGAUCAGCACGCCGCGGUGAAUACGUUCCCGGGCCUUGUACACACCGCCCGUCACACCAUGAGAGUUUGUAACACCCGAAGCCGGUGGCGUAACCCUUUUAGGGAGCGAGCCGUCUAAGGUGGGAC
rnacentral:rRNA from 1 species